AUCUCAUGCAUUUGUAAGUACAUAUGUUUUCUACUAUAUUGUUGUUUAUGUUUUAAAUUUUGUUGUUGAGUUAAUAGUUGUUGUAUUGUUUUGUUCAUAUUGUCUACUUACAUUGCUCUUCAUUUUAGGUGUGGAAUCAUUUUAGUAUUUCACAUUGAUCUGAAUGAGCAGUUCGGUAAACGGUGUUGAAAUUGUUGAAAUUUUUUAUUUGUUGAAACUGUUGUAAUUUAAUAUUAUGAUUGUUGAACUCCUUGCUUAUUUUAUCAUUUUUAUGUUAACUAUGAACUGUCUUGUAAGCUUGAUUGUACUGUACUUCUUUAACAAGUAUGAAUUCUUGAUAUCUUAUCUAAGCUUUUGAUAUCUUUGUUUGUUGUAAAAUAGUUACCUCUUGAUUUUUAUGUUCUCAUAGACAUAGAAGCAAAAGCUACUACCACUUAGUCUUUUACUGUUUUACAGGUAUGUUUUUUUACUGUAGUUCUUUGUUUGCUUCUCCGAAUUUGUCAUGUUCUGAUCAUAUUGAUUGACUCUGUGUUUCAUAUUGUUUGUGUGUUGUAGUUCUUCACUUCUUUGUAUUAUGACUAUCCUCUUCUUAAUGAGCAUGCAGCUGUUGGCACUCCAGACUAUUUGUAUUAUGACUAAGCAAUUUUAUUUGUCAAUGGAGGAUAUCUGCAGUCCCAUUGUGGUGUACAUUCAAAUCAGGAUUGAAAGUGUUCAGCCCCUAAGUGAUGAUGUUGGUGUUCCCAUUUGAAAGAUAUGAAACAUUAUUGAAUCAUUAUCUCUAUAUCAGGCUGUUUUAACACAGCUGCUCGUAAAUUUGAGAAAUGAAGCUCAGCUCUCUCUAGGCAAGUUUCCACAAUUGAAGAUGUUCCAAGUUUGAGGAUAGGCAACCAUUCAUCAGCUGUUUGGGUGUUUCCAUCAAUAAAAUUGAUGUCUUUGGGUAUGAUUCUUUUCCUCGUCCAAGGGGACAGAUACUAUAUACAAAAACUAGAGGAGGUUGGCAAUUCUGUGAAGAGAGUACAGACUUCAAUUGAGGAGCAACAUCUGCAAACAUCAGAACAUGUAGAUGUGUGUGUGUGAGCUGAGGGGGAUUUCACCUUUUGGUCCCAAGAACAUAUAGAUUAAGGUAAGGAGACUCCAAAAGGAUAAGCCAUGAGGAGUUGCCCCUGUGCCAGGUUCAUUGUGUCUUCUUUAUUCGGAUUGAUCACUGUUCACAGGUUUGUUUCCGCUAAAUAUUCUCAUUUUCUUGUGAUUUAACAUGUACAAACAUUUAUUUCUCAUAAAUUUCAAAUGCCUCAA